AGGCAUGAAGAAAUAGCUUUGACACAUUCGUUGUAUUGUCAAACCUUUUUUUUCUUUUAACUGAAACAAAUACAAACUGUUGCCUUCAGUUGAGAACUUGAGAUCAGAUUUCCACUGAUAAAGUAGAAGACUAAACAUAAAAGGGACUUACAUGUGUUAACCAUAGUCACAUAAAACUGGGUCUCGAAGGCAUCGACCCUUGACCCGGUAACGUCAACCCCGGCC
rnacentral:lncRNA from 1 species